AGGUGGCACAGUGUAUCAGCCUGUCACGGUCGUCACUCCCCAAGGCCAAGUGGUCACACAGACAUUGUCGCCUGGGACAAUUAGGAUCCAGAACUCCCAGCUUCAGUUACAGUUAAACCAAGAUCUCAGCAUCUUGCAUCAAGAUGAUGGUUCAUCUAAGAACAAGAGGGGCGUCCUGCCAAAGCAUGCCACGAACGUGAUGCGGUCCUGGCUCUUCCAGCACAUCGGGCAGCGUGUUUGUUAGAAGGAUUUGUUGAUCCUGUAUAGGGUCUUUACGAAGACUGUUUUCAUGGAAGCUUCUCUUUGUCGACUCCAGGUUCAUCAAUGCCAGAAGACGAAUUCUUCAGCCAAUGUUGGAUUCAAGUUGUUCAGAGACCCCCAAAACAAAGAAAAAAACUGCUCAGAACCGGCCAGUUCAGAGGUUUUGGCCUGACUCUAUUGCAUCAGGAGUCGCACAGCCACCGCCGAGCGAGCUCACCAUGUCGGAAGGAGCUGUUGUCACCAUCACCACGCCCGUGAACAUGAACGUGGACAGCCUUCAGUCUCUGUCCUCGGACGGGGCCACCCUGGCGGUGCAGCAGGUCAUGAUGGCAGGGCAGAGCGAGGAUGAAUCUGUGGACAGCACAGAGGAGGACGCAGGUGCCCUGGCCCCCGCCCACAUCAGCGGGCUGGUCUUGGAGAACAGUGACUCCCUGCAGUAGGGGCAGGAGCAGACGCACCUGACUUUUUAGAGUUUGCACAGCAAACAUUUUACACAGUUUU
rnacentral:sRNA from 1 species